UAUGUGAUCGUCUCUCGCAUAUCAAUAAGCGGAGGAAAAGAAACUAACAAGGAUUCCCCUAGUGACGGCGAGUGAAGCGGGAAGAGCUCAAAUUUGAAAUCUUAAAGGGUUUCCCUUUACGAAUUGUAGUUUAAAGAAGUGUUUUCUGUUGAGGUUUUGGUAAAAGUUCUUUGGAAUAGGACAUCAUAGAGGGUGAGAAUCCCGUAUUUGACCUUUACUUUCAACUUUGUGAUACACUUUCAAAGAGUCGGAUUGUUUGGGAAUGCAGUCCAAAAUGGGUGGUAAAUUUCAUCUAAAGCUAAAUAUUGGCGAGAGACCGAUAGCGAACAAGUACCGUGAGGGAAAGAUGAAAAGAACUUUGAAAAGAGAGUUAAACAGUACGUGAAAUUGUCAAAAGGGAAGCGUUUGACACCAGUGUUGUUUUUCUGAAAAUCAAUUAAAGAACUGUUUAUGCUAAGUUGUUUAGACUUUAUCAGCUAACUGUUUAGUUUUGAGCUUUUCUUUAAUGCACUUUUCAGUUAACAAGUCAACAUCAAUUUCUUUUGCUGUAAAAAAGCUUGAGGAAGGUGGCUUGAGAUUCGUCUUAAGUGUUUAUAGCCUCUUGCCUAUGCAGUCGGAGAGAUUGAGGUCUGCAGCGUAGAUCCUUCGGGGCUAAAUGCAUUUGUGCUAAGUUAUAGCAUUUUAUAGACAACUUGUUGACUAUGAUUUGUCUUGUAGCUUACUCGCUUAUGUUAUUUUACCUACGCUUAGGAUGUUGAUAUGCAUGACUGAUAU
rnacentral:rRNA from 1 species